GCCUAGGUAGCUUGAAGGUUAGCGCGUCUGCCUUGUAAGAAAUAGGACGCGGGUUCGAUUCCCGCCCGGGGCG
rfam:Asian citrus Psyllid, Diaphorina citri - Florida Strain, whole genome shotgun sequence.